rnacentral:lncRNA from 1 species
CUUGAGCUCAGGAGUUCUGCACCAGACUGGGCAACAAAGCGAGACCCCAUCUCUAUAUGAAUAAAUAAAUAAGUAAAUAACCAACAAAAAAUCCAUAGAAUUUUAAAUGACUCAGGAGCCUUCUGAAAUGAAAACUCAAAGUCCCAGAGAAACUAUUCAUGUUUAUGCUUAGAUUCAAUGAACGGUGGACACCCAUGAAGAAAUGUGAUUGGGACAAUAUAAUGGUAAUAGACUGAGGGGGAAAUCCAACAAGGCCUGUUCAGAUUCUUCUCAGCUUCUCUGUGUAACAUGCCCUCCUCUAAGGUAUCGGGCAGGGCACUUCUAGAAUGAAGGUGUUAGAAACAAAUGCUUGGUGUCGUAAAGAAAAUGAGCACUUAAACAAAGGAUUUCUCAGCAAGGCAAAUUUACUUCUGCAGAAGGGUGCUUCUCACAGGUCUGGUCACCACGAGAGCACACCAAACAAAGGAGGAAAGGGGUUUUUAAUGCCUAAUGUAGCUUGUCCCUGUUACUGUGUCCUGCCUCCACUGGCUGGAGUUGGACCGCACAAUCUAAGCUGAACCUGAUUGGCUAACUUGAAUGGUACAGGAGUGUGGUCAUACUGGCAGGAAGGGCAGUUUUGGCAGGAAAAGCCAUUGUGAUGAGAGGGGUAAUUUACAGAGUGGGUAGCAGAUGUGGGCUCUGUAGAUAAGGACUGGCAGGAAAGUUGUUUACUGAAACUAAAACAGGGAGGCACAAAGGAUAAGGAAGUUAGUUUGGCUUUGGAAGUAGGGAACAAAGAACAAGGACACUGAACAAGCUAAAUCUUUGAAGAGGAACUUCUUUUGUAUCUGACAAAGGUCUUCAAGGAAGAAGGGAGAGAGUGACCUUUCUAGGUUUUAUGGUUGAUGCUGGUGGAGAGGAGUUCUAGUUUCUAAGAUUUACCUUGAGGAAGAAGAACUGUAGUUUCUGUGGCUUGCAGACAAGCAAAGCAAAGCUGAUAAGCAUCAUUAGCAUCCAUUUUAAAUUUAAGCAAACUGAACUCCAAGAGGUUAAGAAACUUGCUCCAAGUGACACAGCUGGCCCACCCGCAGAAGGGAGCUACCCACUGUGAGUCUCUUCUCCACUGAGAGCUGGACACUCAUUAGGACGACCUGCCUUUGGAAAGAACUACCCACUUUGGGUCUCCCGAGAACUGUUCUGUC